rnacentral:rRNA from 1 species
UUACGGCCACAUCACGUUGAAACAAAGGUUCCCGUAUGAUCACCGGAGUUAACCAACGUCGAGCCUGGUCACUACCUACAUGGGUGACUGCUUGGGAAUACCAGGUGCUGAAA